GGUUAAGUCCCGCAACGAGCGCAACCCCUAUCUUUAGUUGCCAUCAGGUUGGGCUGGGCACUCUAGAGAGACUGCCGGUGACAAGCCGGAGGAAGGUGGGGAUGACGUCAAGUCCUCAUGGCCCUUAUGUCCUGGGCUACACACGUGCUACAAUGGCGGUGACAGUGGGAAGCUAGGUGGUGACACCAUGCUGAUCUCUAAAAGCCGUCUCAGUUCGGAUUGCACUCUGCAACUCGAGUGCAUGAAGGUGGAAUCGCUAGUAAUCGCGGAUCAGCAUGCCGCGGUGAAUACGUUCCCGGGUCUUGUACACAC
rnacentral:rRNA from 1 species